GGAGGAGCGAUGCGAUGCGAUGCGAUGCGAUGCCCGGGGCUGCUCCCCAGAGACCUCGCUGCUCCUGGUGACCCCGCUCGCCAUGUGAUCCCGGCAGGGCUGAGGCUGGCUCCGAGAUGGGAACCUUAGGGAAGAGGAAAGAGAACCCGAAACCUGCACAAGGAUGCAGCACUGCCCCUAAAACAGCACUUGAACUGAAGCAGAUCAGUCCUUGUGCCUCCCAUUCAAAUCCUGCCCAGAUUACUGAGUUCAGAAUAAUGAUGCCUUUGGGACACUUAGCCAAAGGCGCCAGCCUGGAGAACCUCAUUGAAACCUGCCUUCAGUCUUUUGAUUCAGAGGGAAACCUAUGUCAAAACAACCAGCUGCUACAGAUAACACUGACCAUGCACAGAGUUAUCAUCCCCUCUGAGGAUGUGCUCCGAAAACUAAUUGAUCUAUAUCUGGAUGCUUUAGAAAAUAAGUCUUCUGGGCUUUGUGUAAAGAUAUGCUAUUUUGUAAGGUAUUGGAUAACAGAGUUCUGGAUCAUGUUCAAAAUGGAUUCUAGUCUAAUUAACACCAUGGAGGAAUUUCAGAAAUUGGUGAGAGCUAAUGGUGAGGAGUUACACUGUCGCCUAAUUGACACAACUCAAAUAAAUUCCCGGGAUUGGUCCCGAAAGCUUACACAGCGGAUAAAGCCCAACACCAGUAAGAAAAGGAAAGUCUCACUUCUCUUUGAUCAUCUAGAGCCGGAAGAGCUAUCAGACCACCUCACCUACCUUGAAUUUAAGUCCUUCCGAAGAAUAUCAUUCUCAGAUUACCAGAAUUACAUUGUAAACAGUUGCGUAAAGGAGAAUCCAACAAUGGAAAGAUCCAUUGCUCUUUGUAAUGGUAUCUCCCAAUGGGUACAACUAAUGGUACUCAGUAGGCCAACACCACAGCUUCGGGCUGAAGUGUUCAUCAAGUUUAUUCAUGUUGCACAGAAGCUCCACCAGUUGCAGAAUUUCAAUACUUUAAUGGCAGUGAUAGGAGGUCUCUGUCACAGCUCUAUCUCCAGACUCAAAGAAACAAGUUCGUAUGUUCCUCAUGAGGUCAACAAGGUGUUUAAUGAAAUGACAGAACUGCUCUCAUCUUAUAGGAACUAUGACAAUUAUCGACGUGCUUACAAUGAGUGCACUAACUUUAAGAUCCCAAUCCUUGGGGUCCACUUGAAAGACCUGAUCUCCCUUUAUGAGGCCAUGCCAAAUUACUUAGAGGACCAAAAAAUUAAUGUGCAUAAACUACAGUCUCUGUAUAACCAUAUAAAUGAACUGAUACAACUCCAGGAGUUGGCACCUCCCUUAGAAGCUAAUAAGGAUCUUGUACAUCUGCUCACGCUGUCACUUGAUCUUUACUACACUGAAGAUGAAAUAUAUGAACUAUCAUACGCACGAGAGCCAAGAAGCCACCGAGCUGCACCUUUGACACCUUCCAAACCACCGGUAGUUGCAGACUGGGCCUCAGGCAUAGCUCCAAAACCUGAUCCAAAGACAAUCAGCAAGCACGUUCAGAGAAUGGUAGAUUCUGUCUUCAAAAAUUAUGACCAUGAUCAGGAUGGAUACAUUUCUCAGGAAGAAUUUGAAAAGAUUGCAGCCAGCUUUCCAUUCUCAUUUUGUGUCAUGGACAAGGACAGGGAAGGUCUGAUUAGCAGGGAUGAAAUAACAGCUUACUUUAUGAGGGCUAGCUCGAUCUAUUCUAAAUUAGGUCUUGGCUUUGCUCACAACUUCCAAGAGACCACUUACCUAAAGCCUACAUUCUGUGACAACUGUGCUGGAUUUCUCUGGGGAGUUAUUAAACAAGGAUAUAGAUGCAAAGACUGUGGAAUGAACUGUCACAAGCAGUGCAAAGACCUGGUUGUAUUUGAGUGCAAGAAAAGAUCCAAAAGCAUGACUGCAGAUAACAGCCCGACCUCAGCCCUCGCUUCUAGCCUCUGCCCUGUAGGAGUCAAAGAGCAAUUCCAUGGGCAGGAGGAAGGCCCAUUUACAUUUCCUAAUGGAGAAGUGGCUGAACACAACGAAGAGAGCAAGGACCGAACAAUUAUGCUUAUGGGUGUCUCGUCCCAAAAAAUCUCAGUGAGAGUGAAGCCAGCUGUUCUUGACAAGAGCACACAGACUGAGCCAGCACUGGCAAAUAGCGCUGUACCCAGUAGGCAGAUGGAGAAGGAGCAUGGGAUGUCAUCCGAAAAUAUUUAUCUACAGCCCGCAACACCAUCUCCAUGCCCAAGCCCAGUUCUAAGCCGCAAAAAGGCUUAUGUAAAAUGGGAAAACAAAGACUCAAGUCAGAAACGAAAGGAUGAGCAGCGCAUCUAUAAACCCUCGUACCAGGAAGUGGAGCAGGAAAGGAAUAUUCUAAAGGCAGAAAAUGAAGCUUUAAAGAUUCAGCUUAAACAGGCACACAAAACAAUUGAAUCUCUCAGUAUUCAACGCAGAAAUCAUGUCUUGGACAAUACACAACACAGAGACUGCGCGUAGCUGGCAAGGCAGGAGCUCUCCUCUGGAUGAAUGUAAAAGAGAGGGCUUUUUGAACUGUGACAAAGCUGCUGUAUUCAAGUGAACAGGAAACAGAGACUGAAAGAUUUUAAACAGAAAUAUACUCUGUUGAAUCAGCGUAUUUUGCCUGUUCAAUAUACUGCUGAAUGUAUAAAUGUGUUCCUUUCUCUGAUAGUUUAAAAUAAUUUAUCUUCUGAACAUGGGAAUUAAUACAUUCUGGAAUCUCUCUCAAGAAGGGCGAUAUAGGCCCAGAAGUUUAUAUUUAUCGUCAGUAAGCAACUUCUAUGUCCAAUAUGGAUGAUGCGACUCUACAAGUAGCUAUUGUUUCUAUUGAGUGCCCAGUGCCACCAACAAGUGUUCCGACAAGCUCUGUGAAAGACCUAUACCAACAACAGAAACUGACUAAACAGGGGGAAAAAAUGAAACUGACUACACAAAAGCAAAAAGCACAAAGUAAAUAAACUGAAAAAAAAAACUUUAUAGAAAUAUUUUUCAUUUCUAGUCAUUGUAGGCCUUGUCUAGACUCGGGACAAUGGUGAGUUUUUAGAAAUGUGUUAGCUGACAUUAGAAUUGGAUGCUGUCUAGAAAUUAGUUUGGAUAAGUUUUAACUCCUUUAAAAUUGUGUUAAUACGUCUUGGCUUAUCCAAUUUAAAAACACCCACCUCUUUUCCUAGUGUAGCAAAGGCAUUAAGAUUAAAAAAAAUAGAAAACACAACAGAAAAAUUUAGAGAGAAGUAUAAUUUGAGGGUUUUUUUAAGUUGGUGUCCCUUUAAAGGAAAUACUGCUUGUCCUUGGGUUUCUAGUCUAAUCAUUUGGAGUGCUGAUUGGUUAGUACUGGUACAAGAACAAACUAGGAUUAAAUUUAUUACCAUUUGCCUAAGAUAGAGGAGUCAAGGGUAAUUACUGUAAAGUAACUUGUGUGUUGGAAACAGCAAAGAAAAUGUUGCAAUAGUAGCAAUCUGCAUUAAUGUUUCUGUAAAUUUGUGCGACGUCUAUAGUGGUGGUAAUUUGUAGAAUUCUGUAUGAAAUAUGUUAAAGACGACUGACUGAAAAACCAAGUGUACAGAUUGUAAAGAUUUUUUACAUAUAAGUUUUCUUUGUGUAAUAUUUAUAUUAUAAAAGUUGUUAAAAACAGAA